UUCAGAUCGCCAAUGAACUUUCUGUUGGUC
rnacentral:piRNA from 1 species